rnacentral:tmRNA from 1 species
GGGGGUGAAAGGUCUCGACUGCGGACGUACGUCCAGGGGAAGCGGGUCGAGGAUGCCGGGAAGAUCUCGUUAACCAUGACCGGCAAACCAAUAGGUGCCAAUAUCAAGCGCACCGACGUCGCUCUCGCUGCCUGACAGCGAGUAGUGCGUCUGUCAGCCUAGGACCGCCUCCGGCCUAGGACCUGGCAUCGCUAGGAGGCUCCACCGCUCGGCCCGGUCGCGGGGUCGUGCGGGACAUCGCACAGCGACUGGGCUCGGCGCCGGCUCGCCUGCGUGACCGGCGGAGCUGAGGAACCCGUAGCAGGCUGCACCCGGAGAAGCCCUGGUCCUGCUCCGUAGGACGCGGGUUCGAUUCCCGCCACCUCCACGC